UUUGACCAGCUGACCUUGACGUUCCUCAGAGGCCAAAGGAAGAGAUGCAAUGAAGACAGUGCUGCCAGCCAUUUCCCCUCAGCAGGCAGGGCCAGGCUUUCCAGCAGUGGAUGAGGUCUAUCCAGGGUGCCUUGGGGAAAACUAUAAUAAAUGAGGGUCCCUCCCUGAGAAAUGACUACAACCACAAAAAUAAAUUCUUAGAUGAAACAGCUCAAUUAUCUAAUGUAAUUACUCUGAAGGAAAAAAUGAGGAAAAUUUAUCAUAGCUACAUGAAGUUUCCAGUGUGGUUAUAUAUGACUGUUUAUAGUCAACAGUUAUAUCUGGCAUUCUAUCAAACAGAGUUUUCUAUAAUAUGGUAUCUGUGACUGUUUCCAAUACAAUAAAAAUGCUGCAAAAUCUUGAAAUGCUUUUCAAAAGAUUUUGAAAAUCUUGUCUUAUUCAUACUUGUACAUAGUACAGUAUGUACAGCUGUAGCAUUGAGCUGCUUUUGCUGUACUUUAUUAAUCUUUUCCAAAACAUGUAAAUAAUGAAGUCUGUUGCACACCACAUCUGGAAUUCAUGGCUAUACUGUAAGAUUUAUACAGUAGAUGGCCCUUCAUGUACGGAAGUAGUAUGUACACCAGAAUGUGCCUUUUCUUUUUAAGAUUUCAAACAAUGGAAAAAGCCACUAAGUAUGUAUAGUGUCUGUGUGCUGGGGACACAGGGAAGCCCAGCACGUGUGGGUGGAAGGCACCGGAUCCUCGUCCAGCUGAGUAACAAGUAUGGCUGGUGUGGAGCCACACAGGAGGCCCCGGCCGAGCCCGGAGGAGUAGCUGGGUUUCUUCACUCCCAGCCUCUCAAGUGAUGACACCAAGGCAUGAUCUUAUCUUGAUUGUGGCCACCAGUGAAGAAAAGCAUAUCUCUAAUCUCAGAAGCACAAGCAAUUCAUACCAGGAAACCAAGAUUAGAAUAUCAUGCUAUUGUCCUUCAAAAUGACCACGCAGGAUCAGCGGAACCCUGGACACGGACGGAGUGGGCCCCGCAUCCUUUACUGCUUCCCAUGGAGGAUUUCCAGGAUGGGGGUCCUCUUUGCCGUCUCCUUCCUUUGUGGCGAAUAUGGGUGGGGGAUGGAGCUGGGCAUGCCCAGAUCAGCCCCUCCCUUGCUCUUCUCUCUUUGGAUCUUGGUGCAGUGAGAGGGCUUUUUCUUCCUGUUUUUUUUGGAAGGUGGGAUCUACGUGUAGCUGUUCAGUGCUGCCUGUGAGUGGGUAUUAGCUUGCUUAGCUCAAGAGUGAAGUAGAAGCCAGCUCACAAGGCCCAGCAGUACAUCCCCUUUCUCCUCUGAGUUCUCCCCAGUACAAAUCUGGUCACUUAAUUUAUGGGGGUAUGGAGGAGAUAUAUAUUCUGGAGAUGGAGAAAAUAAAAGCAAGUCAGAAUGUGGGUUCACAGGCUCCGAGGCAGAGAAUCAAUGCUGGUGUACCUGGCAGCUAAGUCAGCCAGAGCAUUCUAGAAAUCACCUUAAAAAUGCAUCCCUCUUCUCCUACUGAAGUAGGAGACAAAAAUCUGAUCUGGCUUCUUCGAAAGCAAACAACAAAACAUCCCAACAUGCAACAUAACCCUGAGUCUUUAAAAGAAAGCUGGUGCUUGCACCAGGGGCGUGCAGAGGUCUGGAACCCAUUACAGUCAGUUCCCUAAGGGGCAGCUUAUCUCUUCCUCUGAUGCUAUCAGUUUGCCAAGGAAAGUUAAAGACAAAAGUCAUCUGCUGCACCCAGUUGGAAUGUGACCACGUGCCAGAACUUGAAAUACACGAAGACUAAUUUAUGUCCCGAGGGGAGCGGCUCUCAUGGGAAAGUUCAUUUGUGUCUGCAGCGAACUUCAAAGCUAAUCAUACUACAAAACUGUACAGAAUGAGCAUCUUGAAAUUAUUUCUGAAAUAAUUUCAGGUAGCCUCUGAGAUUGGUAAACUUUAGAAAUAAAGUAUACU